AAUUAGAGCGGUCCGAUUAUUUUAUCUCAGAUCAACACUGGCAAUUGUUUUUACUGUGACUACUUCCCUCCUAACAGUGAUUCCAAACCGAAAAUGUGGCCCGAAGCGUGGUCUGGAUGGUAACGUGAUAUUUUACGCAGACCGGUCUCCGUCUUCAAAAGGUUACUCACAGUCUUGCUCAGGUUGGGCCUUGUUGCAACAAUAAAGGAGCGUGCUAAUGAGAUAUUUAAGAAGGUCAAAGACCAGAAGUCAAGUAGGGGAAGAAACCAAGACGCCAUAUAGGCGGCCUGUCUUUACACCGCUUGCCGUCAAGAAGACAAGCCACGCACUGUAAAGGGUAUAAACAAUCCACAUUAGUUUAAUCGGAUGCUUACUGGUCUCUGUUUAUAUGAACUGGAUUUUCAUUGUCUUGAACCAGUGUUCAAAUAGAAAUCUGUUCGGUUGCCAACAGAGCCACCAAGAAAGAAAUUGGACGUGCAAAAGAUUACAUUGCUAAUUAAACUGAACUUUUAGGUGCAUUCUGUUUAUACCAUUAUAUUGUCUUUUUUUUAUUUGGGUAGUGUUUGCCUUAAAUUAAGGGAGCUUAAGACCUUGGAUGUCACACUUGGUGUAAGCUUCGGUUGGCCCCUAUAGCUACCCUUAAGGGAUCAUUGUUCUAUAACUGCCUAUCAUCUUGUUUUUAUUUGCAGUAAGUUAUGUAGGUUAAGUUACAGGAUCAUACUAAAAAGUAAGAAAAUAACGCCUAAGAGGGAGUUAUUUUUUAUUUAUUGAUUUAUUAAAAAAAAUAGAUCAUUUCAAUCAUGAUGAUACAUGUAGCCAUGACCACUCGAGUUAGGUAAGAUUGCUGUUAUUAGAAAAAACACCUAUAUCUAUACUAUAUAUAUAAUGCAUAUCUAUACUAUCAAAUGAUGUUGGAUAUUUGAUUAUCAGUUUCUUAUUUGAUGUUUGUUUGUAGGUACUAAAGACAUUAAUAGGUGAUGAAGUGAUAUCUUGUGCGGGGAUUCAACGAGAAUUUGGGGCUGUGAGUAGGCCUGGAUCGAGAUUGGGGAGGGAAAACGAAACGAAAAACCCUAAUCGAUUGCUGAUUGUUUCUCCCCACGGUAACUCUGCGUCGUUGCUGAUGGUUCUUGCUUUUCCGUCUAUGCCACCUCACUCCUGGUAUUCUUCAUCCAGGUCUUUAUAUUUAAAGAUUCAUUGUCAUUUGAAGUGGUAUUCUCAAUCCAUGUCUUUAUUAUAUGGGGCCUUUAAUUCAUUUUUCUGCAAUUUUGGGGAAAUUUCAACUCUUUCAUUUUGAUUUCAUCAUUUCUUGUUGGAGAACUAUGAAUUUCGUGAUUUCAUUGCUCAAUUCAUUUUAAAUAUAGCAUUAUUCCCAAUUUCAAGUAGGUUUUUGAUCUGUUUUUGUGUUCCCUCUAAGUCUAAAGAUACACAGGCACUUAGACUCCUUGAUGAUCAAAGGGACAGCUGUAGAUGAACUCAUGAACGUGGUCUAUAUGCUCUUUGAUGGAUUGGAACCUGGAACAUCAACUGUUUCAGUUGUCACAAGAAGAAUAUUAUGACCAUUGGAGCUCAAGACAGCUUGCUGCAGCUGCGAGCCAAACUUAUCGAAGCAAGGCAUACUAAGAAUCAGAGGACGAGAAGAAAGGAGAAAGAGGCGCAGGCGCAGGCGCAGGAGAGAGUAUACCUUCUUUGGUCUUUGCCUAUUCCGUUAACUAUUGCUUUUGUUAGAACUGAAAUAUACAUUAUGCUCUUCAAGAACACUAAUUAGGGGUCAUGUGUAAUUAUAGGAUCAACCAACAUGACAAGACUGGGUCCUUUGAAAUCAAUUUGAAACUAAGUUUUUUUUUCUCUUUUGUAUAAUUAUACUGUAUAGCCUUGUACAUAUAUGAAAUCUUAUAAAGUUGACUUUGUGAUGA